UACGUAGGGGGCUAGCGUUGUCCGGAAUCAUUGGGCGUAAAGAGCGCGUAGGCGGCCAGAUAAGUCCGGUGUGAAAGUCACAGGCUCAACCUGUGAAUGCCGCUGGAAACUGUCUGGCUAGAGUCCGGGAGGGGCGAGUGGAAUUCCUGGUGUAGAGGUGAAAUUCGUAGAUAUUGGGAAGAACACCAGUGGCGAAGGCGGCUAACUGGUCCAGCACUGACGCUGAGGUGCGAAAAGCGUGGGGGAGCAAACAGG
rnacentral:rRNA from 1 species